ACUGGAGCCCCCAACUUGAGGGCUUCAGAGAACAUUCAACGCUGUCGGUGAGUUUGAGAAAGUGUAAAAAUAUAAACCAUCGGCCGUUGACUGUACCCUGAGGCUUUUCACAAAAAUCCAAAUCUCA
rnacentral:pre_miRNA from 14 species